CUGAUCCCCCAGAACUAGGACCGGGGUCAGGGGGUUGGGGGUAGUCGGAUAAUUUGCAUUCAGAACAAGUUCCCAGGUGAUGCUGACGCUUCAGGUCUGGGAGCACAGUGAUUUAAGAUCAGCACUCACUUCUCAAACCUAAAAGUUCAUAUGAAUCAUCAGGAUCUUCCCAAAACAGAUUCUGACUGAGUAUAUGUCGGGUAGGGCCUGAGAUUCAGGAUCUGAAAUAAGUUCCCAGGUGAUGAGAAUGGUAUUAGUGGGCUACACUUUAGUUAGGAAGGGUUUAGAUUACAAUUUAGUAGUUUCCACAGUUGCUCUGUAUUUGACUCACCUGAAGUUAUGGACUAAACGUAAUCCCCGGAAUUCGCCUGUUGAAAUCCUAACCCCUAAUAUGAUUGUAUUAGGAGGUGGGCCAGAGAUGAAUAGGUCACGAUGUAGAGCUCUCAGGAAUGAGAUUAGUGCCCUUAUAAAAGAGACUUCUGAAACUCUCUUCGCUUCUACCCUGUGAGGACACAGCUAGAAAACAGAGGCCUGCAAACCAGGAAGUGGGUCUCACCAGAAACUGAAUCUGCUGACACUUUGAACUUGGACUUCUCAGAUUCUAGAACUGGUAGAAAAAAACAUGUUUGUUGUUGAAGCCACUCAGUUUAGGGUAAUUUGUUAUAGUAAUAAUUAUAAUAAUUUGUUAUAUCAGCCUGAACUAAGACAUCUGGGGAGCUAGCUAUCUAAAUUACCCAGACAUUCUGUUUUAAUCUUCCAGAAGGAAAGCUCAGGAAGCUAUAUUUAAAAAAAAAAAAAAAAAAAAAAAAAACUAGGUGAGCACACACUUGACUUACAGAACCACUGAUUUAAAUAAUACCAAAUAAUGUAAGGAAAUGCUAAGUAAUGUCUGCUUGUGCAAUCCCAGUUGGAAAAGGCUGGGAGCUGGGUCAAGUGAGUGUACAAACCUUCAGAAUCCUAGGCUGAUAUUUCAUUGGGGAAGCAAGUGUUUCUAUAUAAAAUGAAGAGAAAAUAAUACAAAUAAUCUGAGACUUAUGACUGAAUAAAUGACUCUUUAACAUUACCAUUUGCUGCAUAUAGGAAUGGCCUGCGUAGAAAAUCCCCUCGUGAUGCUCUCACGCUUAACCACACCUUUCAUCCUUGCUAUAUGCUCUGUACCUGGAAUAUGUUCCAAACCACUACUUCACCCAAGGCUCUACCAUUUACAGGCUAUGGGGAAGAUACGCCACUCUCAUACCACAGCAAAGGUGUAUAGUAUCAACAUGACAUCACCAUCGAUGUUAAUCCUGAUAACUUUCCUGAGAUGAGGGAAUGGGCCCCAGAUGACACAGAUAGUAGGUCCCAGACACAAACGCAGACAUCUUGUUCCAGUGUCCCUGCUUUUCACUCUGCAGUGCUGCUGAUUCCACCGUUCAUCAGCUAGUAGCUUCAAAGUGGGCAAGAAACUGGUCAUGACAGAGAAUGUAGAAGGAACCAAAUAGUAAUCAAAAGACAAAACACAGCAAUUUCAUAGAAGCCAAAGGAUCAACAAAAGUAAAACCUAAAGGUAAUUUUAGGAAUAUUUGAAGUAAUAUAAACAUCCAUUGACACCAUGACCAAAUUCAGACAAUUCUGUUAAUGUUCUUUUUUCCUUCUGUCCACCUUCUCUCCUUUUUUCUUUCUUUGACAUCAGGCAGGUCCAGUAAUGGUGGCUGUGCAAGGAUGGAGUAUCAGCAUUGGGGGAUUGGGAAGCUUGGUAAACUGGGAAAUUGUGUACAUAAGGGGUUGAGCACAUAAGCAAAUAUGCUGAGGAUGAUGAGGCUUGAUUUUUCACUGACGAAGAAGUGAAUACAAAUAUAGAACAGAGGAAGAUUCAAACGAGCCAUAAACUCUGUAGUGUAGACUGGAAUAAGAGAUUUAAUAGAAAAUGUAAAUGAAAGGUACAAGCCAAACAUUGAGGCCCCAGUAUUAAUGAACUUACCUCACAUCCAGACUCUGAUUUCUAUGUACUAUUUUCCACAAAAAGAGCCAAGCCUUCUUGGAGAAUUAGCUUAUCCAAAUCAGGGUCAAGGAAAGUGGAGAAUGAACUUGGAACAUAUUGUGCCAAAUACAGAGGAAGUCCUUAAAACAAUGAAGGAAAGAGUUUAGAAGACAUUAUCUAGCUGGAAGGGGCUCCUCCCGUCCAAAUCUGGGAAAAUUAAAGCAUCAAAAUAAAUAAUCAUAUUGAUGGGUUAUAAUCCAUUCAACUAAUAAAAAUAAGUAGAGAUUAGAGGAACUAUUCUUUACAGUAGAAUAUCAAAUAAUAGAUAUAGAAAAAGUAUUGCAAUUUGAAAACCACCACUUCUGCCCAUUGUAGCAAUAAUAAAUUCAAUACAUGCUGCAUCUAGUGGUGAAUGGGAGCUGAAGAAUGGGGUAUUUUCAUGAAACCAAAGUAUCUACACACAAAAAGUGCUUAGUAAUUCCAAGGUAAGGUUCCAGAGGAGAAUCCUAACAGACAUAGUAUUUAUCAAGUAAUCAAAUUAGCACCAUCAAUAAUGGGACAAAUUAGCAUCAUGUGCCACCUGAAAGGAUACAGCAAGACCACCACCUUCCUUCUGCAGUAUUUUUGCCAAAAAUAUAUUAAUGUGGUACUCUUCUAGAGGAAACAUUAGACAAAUCCACAUUGAGAAAAACUCUACAAAAGACAUGCUCAGAAACCUUAGAAAGGUCAAGGAGUGCCUAAUACAUUACCCCAGAUUGAAGGAGCUUAGAGAGACAUGACUACUGGGUACAGUAAGAGGUCCUAGUAAUGGUGCACUUGUAAUAAAAGGCAUGCCUGGGACAAUUGACAACACUUGAAAAGAUCUCUGGAUAAUGGGUAUAUUGGUAUUUCUUUGUAGCAAUCUUUUUACUUUUCAUGUCUAAUGUUAUUUCAGACUUUUUAAAAGGUCAUUUUAAAAAAUAAAAAAAUAAAUAAUUUCUUCACCAAAUUACUAUCUCUAGUAAUCUCCUUGUGUGGCUGAAGAGAUAGCUGAGCAGUCUUCCUUAGGGGUAUGCCACUCCAAAUAGUCACAGACUUUCAAAAUGGGGUAUUUGAUCAGACAUACUGAUUAUGGGAAUAGUAGCUUAUUCUCCUUAAGAAUUUACUGUG